rnacentral:rRNA from 1 species
GACGAACGCUGGCGGCGUGCUUAACACAUGCAAGUCGAACGGAAAGGCCCUUCGGGGUACUCGAGUGGCGAACGGGUGAGUAACACGUGGGUGAUCUGCCCUGCACUUUGGGAUAAGCCUGGGAAACUGGGUCUAAUACCGAAUAUGAUCAUCGGCUUCAUGGUCGGUGGUGGAAAGCUUUUGCGGUGUGGGAUGGGCCCGCGGCCUAUCAGCUUGUUGGUGGGGUAAUGGCCUACCAAGGCGACGACGGGUAGCCGGCCUGAGGGGGCGAACGGCCACACUGGAACUGAGAUACGGUCCAGACUCCGACGGGAGGCAGCAGUGGGGAAUAUUGGGCAAUGGGGGCAACCCUGACCCAGCGACGCCGCGUGGGUGAAGAAAUCCUUCGGGAUGUAAAGCCCUGUUGUAUGGGAAGAGCAGAAGACGGUACCAUACGAGGAAGCCCCGGCAAACUACGUGCCAGCAGCCGCGGUAAAAC